rnacentral:lncRNA from 1 species
AGGGUUUGACAAUCUUUUUAAAAAUGAGUUCAUAUAGUAUGAUCGUAGCCUGAUUAGGAAAUUAUGUGGAUUAAUCAUAUAGUCCGAGCUAAUUCAAUUUGACAAUCUUUUUCAUGAUGAGCUUCACUAAUGAGAUACCUUCUCUCAUUAUUGCAUAUGUUAGAAAAAUUCUUGUGUGAUAUUAUUCUCUAUGCCAAAAAGAGAGAAUAAUAUGAAAGAAAAAUAAUGAGAGAAGACAAUCUUUUCUCUUACCUUUUUUCUCUACAAGACAUCAACUUUUGAUCUCUUGAUAGAGGACUCUCCUCCAUGGAUAUUGG